rnacentral:misc_RNA from 1 species
UCCGGCUUAUCACCGGCAGUCCCACUAGAGUGCCCAACUAAAUGAUGGCAACUAAUGGCGAGGGUUGCGCUCGUUGCGGGACUUAACCCAACAUCUCACGACACGAGCUGACGACAGCCAUGCAGCACCUGUGUCCACGCCCCUUGCGGGGAGACGCCCGUCUCCGGACGCCGUCGUGGCAUGUCAAGGGCUGGUAAGGUUCUGCGCGUUGCUUCGAAUUGAACCACAUGCUCCACCGCUUGUGCGGGCCCCCGUCAAUUUCUUUGAGUUUUAAUCUUGCGACCGUACUCCCCAGGCGGAAUGCUUAAAGCGUUAGCUGCGCCACUGACGAGCAAGCUCGCCAACGGCUAGCAUUCAUCGUUUACGGCGUGGACUAC